UACGUAGGGUGCGAGCGUUAAUCGGAAUUACUGGGCGUAAAGCGUGCGCAGGCGGUUUUGUAAGCCAGAUGUGAAAGCCCCGGGCUUAACCUGGGAAUGGCAUUUGGGACUGCAAGGCUUGAGUGCGGCAGAGGAGACUGGAAUUCCUGGUGUAGCAGUGAAAUGCGUAGAUAUCAGGAGGAAUACCGAUGGCGAAGGCAGGUCUCUGGGCUGACACUGACGCUGAGGUGCGAAAGCGUGGGGAGCAAACAGG
rnacentral:rRNA from 1 species